AGUCGAGGGGCAGCACGAUGUAGCAAUACAUUGGUGGCGACCGGCGCACGGGUGAGUAACGCGUAUGCAACCUACCUAUCAGAGGGGAAUAACCCGGCGAAAGUCGGACUAAUACCGCAUAAAACAGGGGUUCCACAUGGAAAUAUUUGUUAAAGAAUUAUCGCUGAUAGAUGGGCAUGCGUUCCAUUAGAUAGUUGGUGAGGUAACGGCUCACCAAGUCCACGAUGGAUAGGGGUUCUGAGAGGAAGGUCCCCCACACUGGUACUGAGACACGGACCAGACUCCUACGGGAGGCAGCAGUGAGGAAUAUUGGUCAAUGGGCGAGAGCCUGAACCAGCCAAGUCGCGUGAAGGAUGAAGGAUCUAUGGUUUGUAAACUUCUUUUAUAUGGGAAUAAAGUGAGGAACGUGUUCCUUUUUGUAUGUACCAUAUGAAUAAGCAUCGGCUAACUCCGUGCCAGCAGCCGCGGUAAUACGGAGGAUGCGAGCGUUAUCCGGAUUUAUUGGGUUUAAAGGGUGCGUAGGUGGUUAAUUAAGUCAGCGGUGAAAGUUUGUGGCUCAACCAUAAAAUUGCCGUUGAAACUGGUUGACUUGAGUAUAUUUGAGGUAGGCGGAAUGCGUGGUGUAGCGGUGAAAUGCAUAGAUAUCACGCAGAACUCCGAUUGCGAAGGCAGCUUACUAAACUAUAACUGACACUGAAGCACGAAAGCGUGGGGAUCAAACAGGAUUAGAUACCCUGGUAGUCCACGCAGUAAACGAUGAUUACUAGCUGUUUGCGAUACACAGU
rnacentral:rRNA from 1 species